GCCUCUCUUCGAGCCACGCCGCCGCCGUCCGUGUAGCCACUUCCCCCAAGCCUCCAACCCCUGCUCUCUUCUUCCGCGAGCUCGGCCCAUCUGUCAUCUUCGUCUUCUCGCCGUCGUCUGCAUCUUCUCGCCGUAAGAGAAACCACUAUCAGAAUUGCCCCAAGCCCCUUCUCCUCUCCUUCCCUUAGCAGAGCUACUACCCUCACUCAACCUCAACCAAAGAGAAACCCUAGUCUCCACCACCGCAAGGAGUUCGCUACCACCGUAAGAAGAGGUGACACAAGCCGUAGCCACUAGCCAGCCUUUAUUGCCGCCGCCAUUCAGCUCACCACCGCCAUCCCACCGUCGUUCGGUUGUCCUUCACCGUCCAGUCUGCCGUAGCCUCCAACCACACUCUGCUCUUUUGGGAAGCUUUUUCGCGUCUCGUCGCAGCUCCAAUUUGGUGGUCGCCCGUCCUCCGUCUGUCUGCUUCUCGUGGUCGGCAUUCUUGCUCCUUCUCCCUCAAUUGCUGCUCUGAGUUCCUGAAUCUCUGUUUGUUCAUUAUUUUUUUAUGAGGAAGAAAAAGCAACCUUGACAAGCCAUUGCAAGAAAUACCUUGACAAUCCUGAACCCUCAUCACUCUCGGUCUCAGUCUCCCUCUCUAAGGAGUUCACUGCUACACUCACUCAUCACAACGCCAACACCAGCCUCCACCCCUCCACUCAGUCACUCCUCGCCGUCGCCUCUAGUCGUUCAGUAGUGCACCAAUCAUGGACGAAGAGGAGAAACCUCAUUCUCCUCCUCAACCUCUUCCCAACAACGACGAACAUUCUAGAAGAAACCACAUCAAUGCUAACCUCAAAGACUCUCUCUUGUCUCAGCUCGCCAAAUCCAACCCCUCUCUCUCCCUCGAAACACGCCAUGUUUCCUCCCUCAUUCAGCAGCGUCUCAAGAAGAUGUUUCCUUCUUUCCACACCCCCCACGCACCCUCCUUUUGCAUUGAUGAUACAUAGGGCAAUAUCUGAGCUAAAUGAGAAUAAAGGGUCCACUGAAGAAGAAAUUUCUAAUUUCAUUGUAAAGGAGUAUGAGGAUUUGCCAUGGGCACAUAAGAAGAUUUUGGGUAUUCAAUUGGAGAAGCUUUGCCAGGAUGAGGAGAUUGUGUGUAAUGAGGGUGGCAGAUAUGUUCUACAGGCUGAUGGUGAUGGAAUAGAUGGUGAUCGGAAGGGGAGACAGGAAUGUAAGAGUAAGAGGAAGAAGAGAGGAAAGAAGACAAGUCAGCAUAGCAUGGAUGGAGGUGGAGAGCGAAAGCGGAAAAGAGUAAAAAUCUGUGAAUAGAUUUAGAAGAGUGAUAAGCCUAAAGAGGGAAGAGAUGAGGCACAACAUCAGGUUUAUGAUUUAGGUGAUGCUAAGGACUGAUGAGCCAAUUAGUGUGGUGAAAUGGACAGAAGAGAAGGGGGAAGAAGCACUUGACCAGUCAGCUGAAAGGGUUGGAGAGCAGAAUAAAUCACAAGGGGCUGGAGUUGUAGAACAAUAUGUUGAAGCAGAGCCUCUAGCACAGGAGUUACAGGAUCAGUACUCCAUAGUGCACCCAGAAACAAUUUGUUCAUCCCUCCCAACUGUGCUGAAUGUUAUUGAUUACCAGAAGCCACUUGAUCUUCUGGGUUCAGAAUGUGUACUGUCAGAAGGACAAUUGAAACAACAAAUGUCUUCUUUGGAUGUUCCUGAACAAAAGCAAGAUGGGAACUCAGUAUCUGGUGAUCCUGAGAAGCAUUCUCCAAAUAACCAAUGCAGAGGGGGGCACCUGAAAUCUAAGCCAGUUGCAGAUGAUCCAGGAGUGCUUUUUACCGUUACGUGACCUUAUUCUUGAUGCACAAAAGCCCAAGGUAAAUAUUAUCGAGAAGCAGUCGUAGUCAUCUCCUCAAAUUCAAGUUGCAGGUCAAGGAAGGCACAAGGAACCAACAAUGUUUAAAAACAGAGCUAUGUUAGCUCCUGAGAAUGUUCAUAAUGAUCAACCGCUACAUGGAAAUCAAGGAUAUGAGAAUCCAGUAUCUGGGAAUGUUGAGCAUCGUCCAGCUAAGCGUCCCAGAGGAAGGCCCCGUAAGUCAGAGACUGAUGCAAACAACCCAAGGGAGUAUAGUCGUGGCAGAGGCAGAGGUAGAGGCAGAGGUACUGGUAGAGGUCUAGGUCGAGGUCGAGGUAGAGGUAGAGGUCAUGGUCGGGGAAGGCCUCGUAAAAUAGAUCAAGAUGCAAAUCAUUCUGAGCAGCAAUUGCAAACGGAUGAUCAAGAUCAGCAGAAUUCUAGUGGUAGGGGUAGAGGUAGAGGUAGAGGCAUCAGCGGAGGCAUAGGUGAUGGUGUAGGUCGAGGUAGAGGAAAGGGGAGUGGUAGGGGGAGAGGGAGGCCUCGGAAAAUAAAGCUAGACACAAACACAAACCAAUGUGAGGAGCAGUUACAAUCACAAGAUCAUGCUAAAGGUCUGGUUAAAUCAAGGUUUGGUUUCAGAAUCAAAACCUAAAUCACAAGAGGCCUCUAAACCUGAUUUCGGAUACGAACCAGAGGCACUGGUUGAGACUCAAUUACAAGCACCUGAACCCCAGGAUAAUAUGGCCUCUUAAACCAGAUCCAAGGCAGUCCUAGCUGCCCCUCUAUGCUUAGCAACCUCUAUGAGGUUGGAACUUGGAACCAUGGACUUUCUCUAACAAGUCUCUCACUUUUCGACCCAACUUAGGCGCUGGAACAGUCUUUGCCUUCCUUUUUCUCGACAAAGCAGAUCCUGAUUGAUUUUGCAUGUGAAUGGAAGUUUGGAAUAUGAAGUUAACUCAGAAGCAAUUUUCUUGUGGGAUCUGGAGUUUGUCAUUCUUGUAGCUGCAGUAGAUAUUUCAAUUAGAGUUUAUGGAGUAUCACAGUUUAUUUCAAUCAUUUUGUUCCUUGUUUUUUUUUUUUUUGUGGUAACUUAUCCGCAUGGUGGAUUGUUGAUUGUUAGAUAUUAGAUAACAAAACAAAAGUCAAUUGUUCGAAUUAUUA